ACGGAGGGUGCAAGCGUUGUUCGGAAUUAUUGGGCGUAAAGCGCGCGCAGGCGGCUUGCCAAGUCUGAUGUGAAAGCCCGGGGCUCAACCUCGGAUGUGCAUUGGAAACUGGUAGGCUUGAGUAUGUGAGGGGUCAGUGGAAUUCCUGGUGUAGGAGUGAAAUCCGUAGAGAUCAGGAGGAACACCGGUGGCGAAGGCGACUGACUGGAACAUAACUGACGCUGAGGCGCGAAAGCGUGGGUAGCAAACAGG
rnacentral:rRNA from 1 species